rnacentral:rRNA from 1 species
AAGAGUUUGAUCAUGGCUCAGAUUGAACGCUGGCGGCAGGCCUAACACAUGCAAGUCGAACGGUAACAGGAAGCAGCUUGCUGCUUUGCUGACGAGUGGCGGACGGGUGAGUAAUGUCUGGGAAACUGCCUGAUGGAGGGGGAUAACUACUGGAAACGGUAGCUAAUACCGCAUAACGUCGCAAGACCAAAGAGGGGGACCUUCGGGCCUCUUGCCAUCGGAUGUGCCCAGAUGGGAUUAGCUAGUAGGUGGGGUAACGGCUCACCUAGGCGACGAUCCCUAGCUGGUCUGAGAGGAUGACCAGCCACACUGGAACUGAGACACGGUCCAGACUCCUACGGGAGGCAGCAGUGGGGAAUAUUGCACAAUGGGCGCAAGCCUGAUGCAGCCAUGCCGCGUGUAUGAAGAAGGCCUUCGGGUUGUAAAGUACUUUCAGCGGGGAGGAAGGGAGUAAAGUUAAUACCUUUGCUCAUUGACGUUACCCGCAGAAGAAGCACCGGCUAACUCCGUGCCAGCAGCCGCGGUAAUACGGAGGGUGCAAGCGUUAAUCGGAAUUACUGGGCGUAAAGCGCACGCAGGCGGUUUGUUAAGUCAGAUGUGAAAUCCCCGGGCUCAACCUGGGAACUGCAUCUGAUACUGGCAAGCUUGAGUCUCGUAGAGGGGGGUAGAAUUCCAGGUGUAGCGGUGAAAUGCGUAGAGAUCUGGAGGAAUACCGGUGGCGAAGGCGGCCCCCUGGACGAAGACUGACGCUCAGGUGCGAAAGCGUGGGGAGCAAACAGGAUUAGAUACCCUGGUAGUCCACGCCGUAAACGAUGUCGACUUGGAGGUUGUGCCCUUGAGGCGUGGCUUCCGGAGCUAACGCGUUAAGUCGACCGCCUGGGGAGUACGGCCGCAAGGUUAAAACUCAAAUGAAUUGACGGGGGCCCGCACAAGCGGUGGAGCAUGUGGUUUAAUUCGAUGCAACGCGAAGAACCUUACCUGGUCUUGACAUCCACGGAAGUUUUCAGAGAUGAGAAUGUGCCUUCGGGAACCGUGAGACAGGUGCUGCAUGGCUGUCGUCAGCUCGUGUUGUGAAAUGUUGGGUUAAGUCCCGCAACGAGCGCAACCCUUAUCCUUUGUUGCCAGCGGUCCGGCCGGGAACUCAAAGGAGACUGCCAGUGAUAAACUGGAGGAAGGUGGGGAUGACGUCAAGUCAUCAUGGCCCUUACGACCAGGGCUACACACGUGCUACAAUGGCGCAUACAAAGAGAAGCGACCUCGCGAGAGCAAGCGGACCUCAUAAAGUGCGUCGUAGUCCGGAUUGGAGUCUGCAACUCGACUCCAUGAAGUCGGAAUCGCUAGUAAUCGUGGAUCAGAAUGCCACGGUGAAUACGUUCCCGGGCCUUGUACACACCGCCCGUCACACCAUGGGAGUGGGUUGCAAAAGAAGUAGGUAGCUUAACCUUCGGGAGGGCGCUUACCACUUUGUGAUUCAUGACUGGGGUGAAGUCGUAACAAGGUAACCGUAGGGGAACCUGCGGUUGGAUCACCUCCUUACCUUAAAGAAGC